AGCAUGUGCAGGCUUGGCCAGCUGACAGCCACUCCGCUGCGCUCUGAACAUGGCUGCUAGAUGGCAUGCAGUUCUGAGGGCAGCUGUAAAACAAACAGACGGCACUCUGCGGAUGUUACAGCGAACAAUGGGAACUGUGAGCAAGAUGUGACUGAAGUAGUCUGUCAAAUCCUCAG